rnacentral:rRNA from 1 species
GACGAAGGUGGCAAGCGUUGUUCGGUGUUACUGGGCUUAAAGAGUGUGUAGGCGGAAAAGUAAGCGCCUUGUGAAAGCCCCCGGCUUAACCGGGGAACUGCUCGGCGAACUGCUUUUCUUGAGGCAAGUAGGGGUGCACGGAACUCUUGGUGGAGCGGUGGAAUGCGUAGAUAUCAAGAGGAACGCCGGAGGUGAAAACGGUGCACUGGGCUUGACCUGACGCUGAGACACGAAAGCGUGGGGAGCGAACGGGAUUAGAUACCCUAGUA